UAUAUAUACAUACAUAUCUGUGUCUUUAUAUAUAUAUAUAUAAUGUGGUUUAGUGCUAAAAGAAAAAAUACUGGUUUUAUGUUUUUCGCAAGUCUCUAAAUCCUCGUUACAACUAGGCGUAGAUCGAUUGAGUUUCUGUUUCUGUUUCAGUUUCAGUAUCUGUCUGUGUCUCUGUCAGUGUGCGUGUUUUUUGAUUGAUUGGAAUCGUCUACUCUCUAACGGUACUUUAGCUCUUUUUCGUAUUUAUCACA